rnacentral:rRNA from 1 species
GUGGAUUAGAUACCCGAGUAGUCCACGCUGUAAACGAUGAUUACUCGUUUUCGGCGAUAUACAGUCGGAGACUAAGCGAAAGUGAUAAGUAAUCCACCUGGGGAGUACGAUCGCAAGGUUGAAACUCAAAGGAAUUGACGGGGGCCCGCACAAGCGGUGGAGCAUGUGGUUUAAUUCGAUGAUACGCGAGGAACCUUACCAGGGCUUAAAUGCAAGUUGAAUGAUGUGGAAACAUGUCAGUCUUCGGACAAUUUGCAAGGUGCUGCACGGCCGUCGACAACU